rnacentral:rRNA from 1 species
UACAGAGGUCCCAAGCGUUGUUCGGAUUUACUGGGCGUAAAGGGUGCGUAGGAGGCUUGGAAAGUCAGGUGUGAAAUCUCACCGCUUAACGGUGAAAUGGCGCUUGAUACUCCCGAGCUAGAAGAUCGGAGGGGAGAACGGAAUUCCUGGUGUAGCGGUGAAAUGCGUAGAUAUCAGGAGGAACACCAGCGGCGAAGGCAGUUCUCUGGACGAUUCUUGACUCUGAGGCACGAAGGCCAGGGGAGCAAACGGG